rnacentral:rRNA from 1 species
UACAGAGGUCUCAAGCGUUGUUCGGAUUCAUUGGGCGUAAAGAGCUCGUAGGCGGUCUGUUGCGUCGGCUGUGAAAACCCGGGGCUCAACCCCGGGCCUGCAGCCGAUACGGGCAGACUAGAGUUCGGCAGGGGAGACUGGAAUUCCUGGUGUAGCGGUGAAAUGCGCAGAUAUCAGGAGGAACACCGGUGGCGAAGGCGGGUCUCUGGGCCGAAAUUGACGCUGAGGAGCGAAAGCGUGGGGAGCAAACAGG